rnacentral:rRNA from 1 species
UUGGUCAUUUAGAGGAAGUAAAAGUCGUAACAAGGUUUCUGUAGGUGAACCUGCAGAAGGAUCAUUGUUGAAAAACGUAGCGGCUUCGAGAGCGUACACACGCCUCGAGGUCGUGAUCCACAAACCUCACACACCUGUGCACACGGAAAACAUUUCAAACGCAUAGAAAUUAGAGAAUGUCCACAAAAUCCUUCUUAGGAAGGUGAAAGUUAAACACAACUUUCGGCAACGGAUCUCUAGGUUCUCCUAUCGAUGAAGAACGCAGCGAAUUGCGAUAAGUAAUUGUGAAUUGCAGAAGUCAGUGAAUCAUCGAAUCUUUGAACGCAUCUUGCGCCCUUUGGUAUUCCUUUGGGCAUGCCUGUUUGAGUGUCACGAGCAACCUUUGAACCUCGGAUUUUUUUCUUUUUCAUUAAAGUCAGUCCGCUUGGGUUCAGUCUUGAGCGCCUUACCUGGUUUCGCCCAGGCUCGCUCUAAAUACAUUAGCUGGGAUUCUGUUCCUGUGGGUCGGACCUUUGCGGGUCGGGCCUCUAGCGUGAUAAUUUAUCUGCUGGAGCCAACACGGGUCGGAAAAUCGCUUCUAACCAAGGGAGCCGGUCCCCUCGGGGAUCGCGUCUCUGCAAUAUUUGACAUCUGGCCUCAGACAGGUAGGACUACCCGCUGAACUUAAGCAUAUCAAUAAGCGGAGGA